rnacentral:rRNA from 1 species
UACGUAGGGCGCAAGCGUUGUCCGGAAUUAUUGGGCGUAAAGAGCUCGUAGGCGGUUUGUCGCGUCUGCUGUGAAAACCUAAGGCUCAACCUUGGGCUUGCAGUGGGUACGGGCAGACUAGAGUGCGGUAGGGGUGACUGGAAUUCCUGGUGUAGCGGUGAAAUGCGCAGAUAUCAGGAGGAACACCGGUGGGCGAAGGCGGGGUCUCUGGGCCGUAAACUG